CCAGAGAGAAGAUGCUGACUCAGAA
rnacentral:piRNA from 1 species